rnacentral:rRNA from 1 species
UACGAAGGGGGCUAGCGUUGUUCGGAAUGACUGGGCGUAAAGGGCGCGUAGGCGGUUUGAUAAGUUUGGUGUGAAAGUCCUGGGCUUAACCUGGGGAUUGCACUGGAUACUGUUAGACUAGAGGUCGAGAGAGGAGAAUGGAAUUGCGAGUGUAGAGGUGAAAUUCGUAGAUAUUCGCAAGAACACCGGUGGCGAAGGCGGUUUUCUGGCUCGAAUCUGACGCUAAGGCGCGAAAGCGUGGGGAGCAAACAGG